UACGUAGGGUGCAAGCGUUUAAUCGGAAUUACUGGGCGUAAAGCGUGCGCAGGCGGUCCGUUAAGACAGAUGUGAAAUUCCCGGGCUUAACCUGGGAACUGCAUUGGUGACUGGCGGGCUAGAGUAUGGCAGAGGGGGGUAGAAUUCCGACGUGUAGCAGUGAAAUGCGUAGAGAUGUGGAGGAAUACCGAUGGCGAAGGCAGCCCCUGGGCCAAUACUGACGCUCAUGCACGAAAGCGUGGGGAGCAAACAGG
rnacentral:rRNA from 1 species